rnacentral:rRNA from 1 species
UGCCCCAGUAACGGCGAGUGAAGCGGCAACAGCUCAAAUUUGAAAUCUGGCCCCCAGGCCCGAGUUGUAAUUUGCAGAGGAUGCUUUUGGUGAGGUCCCUACCGAGUCCCCUGGAAUGGGGCGCCACAGAGGGUGAGAGCCCCGUAUGGUAGGACGCCGAACCUUUGUAAAGCUCCUUCGACGAGUCGAGUAGUUUGGGAAUGCUGCUCUAAACGGGAGGUAAAUUUCUUCUAAAGCUAAAUAUUGGCCAGAGACCGAUAGCGCACAAGUAGAGUGAUCGAAAGAUGAAAAGCACUUUGAAAAGAGGGUUAAAAAGUACGUGAAAUUGUUGAAAGGGAAGCGCUUGUGACCAGACUUGUGCCGGGCGGAUCAUCCAGCGUUCUCGCUGGUGCACUCCGUCCGGCUCAGGCCAGCAUCGGUUUUCGCCGGGGGACAAAGGCUUCGGGAACGUGGCUCCUCUCGAGGAGUGUUAUAGCCCGUUGCGUAAUACCCCGGCGGGGACCGACGACCGCGCUUCGGCAAGGAUGCUGGCGUAAUGGUCAUCAGCGACCCGUCUUGAAACACGGACCGAGGAGUCAAGCAUUAGUGCGAGUGUUUGGGUGUAAAACCCGCACGCGUAAUGAAAGUAAACGUAGGUGAGAGCUUCGGCGCAUCAUCGACCGAUCCUGAUGUUUUCGGAUGGAUUUGAGUAGGAGCAUUAACGCUUGGACCCGAAAGAUGGUGAACUAUACUUGAAUAGGGUGAAGCCAGAGGAAACUCUGGUGGAGGCUCGCAGCGGUUCUGACGUGCAAAUCGAUCGUCAAAUUUGAGUAUAG